rnacentral:snoRNA from 1 species
AGCCUACUGGCACUUUACCACAAGCUGUGUUCUUACACUGACUGUAUAGAAAGAGGAGGCAAAGUAAAACUACUCCAUAUGUACCUCAGCCCAGGCUUUGUGCCUGGUCAGUAUUGUGAAUAGGAAGACAUGG